CAGAUAUUUUUGCUAAAGCUCUAUCUAGUUGGCUUCUCAAAGAGCAUAUGAUCAAAAUGAGAGCAAAAAAUGUCUAUUCUCCAUCUUGAGGGGGGAUGUUAUCUGAGCUGUAUAAAACAGAGUCAGACUCGACCUAUGUGAUAAAAUCAAAACGUAUCGUUUCACUAAAGAGUAAUUUAGUGCGUUCGAGCUUAGGUAAGCUCAGGGACAGAAUGAGUAUUGAAACCUGUCUUCUUCCCUGAGAAACCUAAUAUGCUCUCUUCUCUGCUACCAUCGACGAGCACCAAAAGCUUUGAUUUUGUUUUUUCUUGCAUUCUUUUCUGGUUGUUUUGCAGGUAAAUAUGUACACACAUCGCACAACCACUCCUGCGAAGAGCUUCUCUCUUCGUUCACCCGCUUUCGCACCUUCCACCUUCACCAAGUUUCUCUCUCUAUUCACUCGCUUCCGUGCCUUCUACCUUCAUCGAGCACCAUCUGUGCAAUCCGGUAUUUUCCUUCAAUUUUAUUU
rnacentral:lncRNA from 1 species